rfam:Capsicum annuum cultivar Zunla-1 chromosome 8, whole genome shotgun sequence
GAGAGCACAAUACGAUGAAAGUUAUAAGUUGUGUUCGGGGGGGAGUUAUUGUCUAUCGUUGGCCUCUAUGGUAGAUGGUAGAAUCAAUCGGGGGACCUGAGAGGUAGUGAUUUACCUUGC